GUGGCUCUCCCGCAAAGCCCGGCGUGGCGCGAGCCCCCUCCCUCCCAACGGCUGCUUAACGGUCGUCCGCGCGCGCGAGGGAAACUGAGGCAGAAGCUGUGGGGCGGUGCGUGGGGGUGCAGCUCUGCUCCCCCUCCCCCCACACGCUAACACAAACACGCACUCGGCUUGUAAUGCUCGUUUUGCCGAGAGGCAGGGCAGGGCCCAGGGGUCGGGCUGUUUGGAGCCGUGUUGAGGGACUUCCGAAAGCCGUGAGGGGCUGUGUGAAGCGGCGUCUCUUUGGGAUUGCCCGCCGAUGCACUGACUGCCAGCGAAGUUCUUGUGAAACCAACCUGAGCUCAUCCAUCCAGGAAGGCCCUGCUAAUGCUUUUCAGAUGUCUGCAGUUAUUUCUCCUCCAAGCAGAAACAAACCAGCUUUGCGUAAUUAUUUUCUCAUCUGCUGCUCUCCAGAAGAGCUUGUGUUGCAGAUGGAGAACAUCCACUCCACGUUUACCCUGCUGAAGAACUGCAUGCUUCAGGGUCUGCGAGACAUGCACACCUGUGUAAAUAUGUUUUAAUAUGGAGUUGUUAUCAGUGCUUUUUAUUUGCUGAUAUCUAGUGAAAGUGUAAUUAUUAAAAUAGAGCCUGCUGGUAUAAUACUGGUACCAGAGAGCAGCUAGUUUCUAUAGUCCUUAAGUAGAUAUAUUCUUGGAAUUAGCUAAUCGUUAAGGUCCCUUCCAACCUGAGCCAUUCUGUGACUUCGUGAUUUUGAGAAAAUUUUGAAGAUGGUUCUUAAGGGUUUUGUGGUUUCAAGGGACAUAAGACUCAAUUGAACUGUACUUCAUAGAAUCAUAGAAUCUUGGAAUCAUUAAGGUUGGAAAAGACCUCUAAGAUCACCUAGUCCAACCAUCACUCCACUACUACUGUGCCCACUUACCAUGUCCCUCAGUGCCACAUCUCUACUGCUCUUGAACACCUCCGGGGAGUGCCUCACCACUUUUCCUGCGAAGAAAUUGUUCCUAAAAUCCAUGUUUGAGUCUCAUUGACUUAACAUCAUUAACAGUGUUUGAUGACUUAAUUCCCUGUAAACCAGAAUUUUCUUGAUUUUAAUUAAAUGUAGACAAGGAAUUAGUGAGUUAGAGUUAGGUGAGGUUUAAGUUGUAGGUUAAUUUUUUCAAAUGUAUUUGUUCACAGUUGUUUGAACACUUUCUCAUUCUUUAUGAAUAGUGUGGUUAUAAACUUAUGAUUUCAAACA